rnacentral:rRNA from 1 species
UACGGGGGGGGCAAGCGUUGUUCGGAAUCACUGGGCGUAAAGCGCACGUAGGCGGCUUCUUAAGUCAGGGGUGAAAUCCUGGAGCUCAACUCCAGAACUGCCUUUGAUACUGAGGAGCUUGAGUCCGGGAGAGGUGAGUGGAACUGCGAGUGUAGAGGUGAAAUUCGUAGAUAUUCGCAAGAACACCAGUGGCGAAGGCGGCUCACUGGCCCGGUACUGACGCUGAGGUGCGAAAGCGUGGGGAGCAAACAGG